rnacentral:lncRNA from 7 species
ACUAUAGUGGCGGUUGGAGCUGUGGUGCGGCCGCUCGCUGAGGUCUCGUCCUCCGGGUGCUGCUACCCGCUAGCAGCGAAGCGCUCUCAAGGGGUGAGGGAGGGCUCCCGGCUUAGGGGAACUGUGUUUCUGCCAUCGUGUGAGCGCGGCUGGCUCGGAGCCUGAGGACUGAAGUGCAGUGAAAGAAGAUCCUAUAAGAAAAGACUCUGGAGAUGGAGCACAAAAGUUCUGCAGCUCUAGUAAUGUAGAGAUGUGCUGAUAUAGCCCUGCUGCUCCUAGCCUCCCAGGAGAAGUUUACAAAGAAUGCGAUUGAAAGUGCAAAGCGGCAGAUACCGACGUUAAACUCCGGCUUGAUUUCAGUCUAACGAUCUGAGACACGGCCCCGUGCCGCCGCCGCCCUCAUUAAUACAGAAGCAUGCCCCUGGGACCUGAGUCACCCGGAGAGAAUAAACACAAUAUAGAGUCAUCUUACCUCCGAGCCGAGAGCGCACCGUUAGAGGAACAAAGGGAAUGUGGAAAUGAAAGAGAGAGGGAGAGAGAGGCUGGCAGAUGUGAUGAGAUGCGGUGAAGGUGUAUCCAGCUUGGCACUCCCACUCCUCUCUUCUCCUCUCAUUGCAGCCCUGGGUGACUCUCAGGCUAACACAAACAGCUUUUCUUCCGCAGCCUGCCCUCUGUCACUGUUUACAUGCGUUAGGAGGAAAAUGCUACUGCCCGGGCGCGGGGAUUCUUACAAUUAAAGAUGAAAGAGGACGCAGCAGCAUCUGGACAGGAAGCUACUUCCUGUUGUUAAGUCCAUCCCGUAGAUAACUGCAGCGAGGUUUUUAGGAUCUUUUAUUAAAAUUGGAAGAACGUGUGGAAAUUAGCUGCUAUGCCCUCAGCCAGCUAAUUUAUGAGAAAGCUUUACUAGAUAAAUUUCAAGUUGUUUCAACG